ACUUCAGACAGAAAUUCGUGCUGCAAACCGUUUGCGCGAUGCAAAGCCGCAAAAGAAAAAAAUGAAGAGAUGUGUAUGUGGAGAGGUGGAUCAACACCACACGAGGACAGCAGGGAUUUAAGAGUUGGAGAAUAGGACAGGCUUCGCAAAGCAUGACUUGGAGAGCGUUUGUCUUUGACCCUGCGAUUCUAUGCAACAGGUGACACGUUCAAGUCCCUCAGGUUCAAGUCCAGGAUGGGGGACCAGCACCAUCCCACAAAUAGUUUUGGAUAGCUGUUCUGUACCAGGUUAUAAAGGACGAUUUCUUGAAGACACCAUCAACGGAAGGAGAGUGGCAUAGCCGUGGACUUCGAAAGGAAGUGGCAGUUUCCACAUUGCUUUGGGGUACUUGCUACCACUCCAGCUGUAGCAGACUGCUGACCAAAACAUGGUUGAUGGGCAAUGGAAGAAUCGUGGGACGGGUGCUUUUCAACCGAUGAACACCACCUCACAUCGCAAUUGUAUGGCAACAGCAAAAGUGCAACGCAAUCUGAUGCGGGACUACUUUGUCUCACCAGCGUGUAGUGUUUAUUGGCAAGUUCAACACAUUUUAAAAGGAACUGAUGUAGAGUUAUCCCUGCAAACAGCAGAUUAAAGCCAGUUAUUGUCAGUUUAGGACAUUCGUUUUCUUGUGUGUUCUAAAGUCCUGUAUUUGUAAAGAACACAAUGUGGUUCACUUUUUCAUUGUUUUAAGUAUUCUGUUUAUUGUUGUGUUAUUAUUCAAUUAAUUUUAAUUGCAUACAAAUCAAAAGGUGCAGGAAUGUAACAAAUAAAGGCAAUCUGCAUGUUGCAA